rnacentral:rRNA from 1 species
AUUGAACGCUGGCGGCAGGCCUAACACAUGCAAGUCGAACGAGUGGCGGACGGGUGAGUAAUGUCUGGGAAACUGCCUGAUGGAGGGGGAUAACUACUGGAAACGGUAGCUAAUACCGCAUACCAUCGGAUGUGCCCAGAUGGGAUUAGCUAGUAGGUGGGGUAAAGGCUCACCUAGGCGACGAUCCCUAGCUGGUCUGAGAGGAUGACCAGCCACAACGGAAACGGGACAAGGGCCAGACUCCUACGGGAGGCAAGAGUGGGGAAUUUUGGACAAUGGGGGGAAGGCCUGUGGAGCCAAGCCGGGGUGGAUAAGAAGGCCUUCGGGGUGUAAAAUACUUUCAGGCGGGAGGCGUUACCCGCAGAAGAAGCACCGGCUAACUCCGUGCCAGCAGCCGCGGUAAUAC